GAAAUGCGAUAAGUAAUGUGAAUUGCAGAAUUCAGUGAAUCAUCGAAUCUUUGAACGCACAUUGCGACCGCCAGUAUUCUGGCGGGCAUGCCUGUCCGAGCGUCAUUUCAACCAUCAAGCCCCCGGGCUUGUGUUGGGGACCUGCGGCUGCCCGCAGGCCCUGAAAACCAGUGGCGGGCUCGCUGUCACACCGAGCGUAGUAGCAAUCACCUCGCUCAGGGCGUGCUGCGGGUUCCGGCCGUUAAACAGCCUUACAAAACCCAAGGUUGACCUCGGAUCAGGUAGGAAGACCCGCUGAACUUAAGC
rnacentral:misc_RNA from 1 species